UUAAGCGACUAAGCGUACACGGUGGAUGCCCUGGCAGUCAGAGGCGAUGAAGGACGUGCUAAUCUGCGAUAAGCGUCGGUAAGGUGAUAUGAACCGUUAUAACCGGCGAUUUCCGAAUGGGGAAACCCAGUGUGAUUCGUCACACUAUCAUUAACUGAAUCCAUAGGUUAAUGAGGCGAACCGGGGGAACUGAAACAUCUAAGUACCCCGAGGAAAAGAAAUCAACCGAGAUUCCCCCAGUAGCGGCGAGCGAACGGGGAGGAGCCCAGAGCCUGAAUCAGUGUGUGUGUUAGUGGAAGCGUCUGGAAAGGCGCGCGAUACAGGGUGACAGCCCCGUACACAAAAAUGCACAUGCUGUGAGCUCGAUGAGUAGGGCGGGACACGUGGUAUCCUGUCUGAAUAUGGGGGGACCAUCCUCCAAGGCUAAAUACUCCUGACUGACCGAUAGUGAACCAGUACCGUGAGGGAAAGGCGAAAAGAACCCCGGCGAGGGGAGUGAAAAAGAACCUGAAACCGUGUACGUACAAGCAGUGGGAGCACAGAGCAAUCUGUGUGACUGCGUACCUUUUGUAUAAUGGGUCAGCGACUUAUAUUCUGUAGCAAGGUUAACCGAAUAGGGGAGCCGAAGGGAAACCGAGUCUUAACUGGGCGUUAAGUUGCAGGGUAUAGACCCGAAACCCGGUGAUCUAGCCAUGGGCAGGUUGAAGGUUGGGUAACACUAACUGGAGGACCGAACCGACUAAUGUUGAAAAAUUAGCGGAUGACUUGUGGCUGGGGGUGAAAGGCCAAUCAAACCGGGAGAUAGCUGGUUCUCCCCGAAAGCUAUUUAGGUAGCGCCUCGUGAAUUCAUCUCCGGGGGUAGAGCACUGUUUCGGCAAGGGGGUCAUCCCGACUUACCAACCCGAUGCAAACUGCGAAUACCGGAGAAUGUUAUCACGGGAGACACACGGCGGGUGCUAACGUCCGUCGUGAAGAGGGAAACAACCCAGACCGCCAGCUAAGGUCCCAAAGUCAUGGUUAAGUGGGAAACGAUGUGGGAAGGCCCAGACAGCCAGGAUGUUGGCUUAGAAGCAGCCAUCAUUUAAAGAAAGCGUAAUAGCUCACUGGUCGAGUCGGCCUGCGCGGAAGAUGUAACGGGGCUAAACCAUGCACCGAAGCUGCGGCAGCGACGCUUAUGCGUUGUUGGGUAGGGGAGCGUUCUGUAAGCCUGCGAAGGUGUGCUGUGAGGCAUGCUGGAGGUAUCAGAAGUGCGAAUGCUGACAUAAGUAACGAUAAAGCGGGUGAAAAGCCCGCUCGCCGUAAGCCCAAGGUUUCCUGCUCUACGUUCAUCGGAGCAGGGUGAGUCGGCCCCUAAGGCCAGGCUGAGAAGCGUAGUCGAUGGGAAGCUGAUUAAUAUUUCAGCACCACUGUUGAGUGCGAAGGGGGGACGGAGUUUUGCAAGUAAUCCGGGUGUUGGAUGUCCCGGUUGGCGAGCGUAGGAGGUGAGCAGGCAAAUCCGCUCACGCAUCUCCGAGACGAAGCCUCGAGGUCCUUUAGGACUGAAGUUACCGAAUGAACUUCCAGGAAAAGCCUCUAAGCUCCAGCUCAACGGUGACCGUACCGUAAACCGACACAGGUGGGCGAGUUGAAUAUACUCAGGCGCUUGAGAGAACUCGGGAGAAGGAACUCGGCAAAUUGACACCGUAACUUCGGGAUAAGGUGUGCCUUGGUAGCGUGAAAGGAGAAACUCCCCAAGCGCGAAGAGGUCACAGAAAAUAGGGGGCUGCGACUGUUUACUAAAAACACAGCACUCUGCAAAGACGAAAGUCGACGUAUAGGGUGUGAUGCCUGCCCGGUGCCGGAAGAUUAAGUGAUGGGGUGAGAGCUCCUGAUCGAAGUCCCGGUAAACGGCGGCCGUAACUAUAACGGUCCUAAGGUAGCGAAAUUCCUUGUC
rnacentral:rRNA from 1 species